UGCGUAGGCGGUCUUUCAAGCCGGAAGUUAAAGGCUACGGCUCAACCGUAGUAAGCUUUUGGAACUGUAAGACUUGAGUGCAGGAGAGGAGAGUGGAAUUCCUAGUGUAGCGGUGAAAUGCGUAGAUAUUAGGAGGAACACCAGUAGCGAAGGCGGCUCUCUGGACUGUAACUGACGCUGAGGCACGAAAGCGUGGGGAGCAAACAG
rnacentral:rRNA from 1 species